CGGACGGGUGAGUAACACGUGGAUAACCUACCUAUAAGACUGGGAUAACUUCGGGAAACCGGAGCUAAUACCGGAUAAUAUUUUGAACCGCAUGGUUCAAAAGUGAAAGACGGUCUUGCUGUCACUUAUAGAUGGAUCCGCGCUGCAUUAGCUAGUUGGUAAGGUAACGGCUUACCAAGGCAACGAUGCAUAGCCGACCUGAGAGGGUGAUCGGCCACACUGGAACUGAGACACGGUCCAGACUCCUACGGGAGGUAGCAGCC
rnacentral:rRNA from 1 species